CUGGCUCAGAUUGAACGCUGGCGGCAUGCCUUACACAUGCAAGUCGAACGGUAACAGCACUUCGGUGGCUGACGAGUGGCGGACGGGUGAGUAAUACAUCGGAACGUGCCCGAUCGUGGGGGAUAACUACUCGAAAGAGUGGCUAAUACCGCAUACGAUCUACGGAUGAAAGCGGGGGAUCGCAAGACCUCGCGCGGACGGAGCGGCCGAUGGCAGAUUAGGUAGUUGGUGGGAUAAAAGCUUACCAAGCCGACGAUCUGUAGCUGGUCUGAGAGGACGACCAGCCACACUGGGACUGAGACACGGCCCAGACUCCUACGGGAGGCAGCAGUGGGGAAUUUUGGACAAUGGGGGAAACCCUGAUCCAGCCAUGCCGCGUGCAGGAUUGAAGGCCUUCGGGUUGUAAACUGCUUUUGUACGGAACGAAAAGACUCUUUCUAAUACAGAGGGUCCAUGACGGUACCGUAAGAAUAAGCACCGGCUAA
rnacentral:rRNA from 1 species